UGGGGAAUCUUGGACAAUGGGCGCAAGCCUGAUCCAGCCAUGCCGCGUGAGUGAAGAAGGCCUUAGGGUUGUAAAGCUCUUUUGGCAGGGACGAUAAUGACGGUACCUGCAGAAUAAGCCCCGGCAAACUUCGUGCCAGCAGCCGCGGUAAUACGAAGGGGGCUAGCGUUGUUCGGAUUUACUGGGCGUAAAGCGCACGUAGGCGGAUUGUUAAGUCAGGGGUGAAAUCCCGGAGCUCAACUCCGGAACUGCCUUUGAUACUGGCAAUCUUGCGGCUGGAAGAGGUUGGUAGAAUUCCCAGUGUAGAGGUGAAAUUCGUAGAUAUUGGGAAGAAUACCAGUGGCGAAGGCGGCCAACUGGUCCAGAUCUGACGCUGAGGUGCGAAAGCGUGGGGAGCAAAC
rnacentral:rRNA from 1 species